UUGAGGAAGUAAAAGUUGUAACAAGAAGUUCGUGGUGACCUGCGGAGGAUCAUUACUGAAGUGAUUUUGGGGGAUGUUGCUGGUCUCUUGAGGCAAUGGUGCACUCCCUCAAACAUUUUCACAAUUUCCAUCUCACCCAUGUGCACAUCCUGUAGGUGGUCUCCCAACCCCAAGAAAAGGGGUGGUGGGUCUGGUCUCCUAUGUAUUUCCUUGCCCAACAUCACACGUUUUGAUUGAUUGAAUGAAUCCUGUGGAUUAUCUGUAAAAAGUAAUCAUAGAAACAACUUUCAACAAUGGAUCUCUUGGCUCUCGCAUCGAUGAAGAACGCAGCGAAAUGCGAUACGUAAUGUGAAUUGCAGAAUUCCGUGAAUCAUUGAAUCUUUGAACGCACCUUGCGCCUCUUGGUAUUCCGAGGGGCAUGCCUGUUUGAGUGUCAUUGAAUCCUCAAAAGAAAGGAACCUCUCAGGUUGGAGGAGGUGUCUUUUGGAAUUGGGAUGUGCUUGGGGCCCUUAAGGUGUCCAAGCUCUCCUGAAAUGCAUUAGCAACGUGGUUUCCUGCCUUGCACAGCAUGUGCUUCCUUGUCGGCAUUGAUAAUCAAUUCAUGUCAAGAGAGGGGGGCCC
rnacentral:rRNA from 1 species